rnacentral:misc_RNA from 1 species
GCCAUCACCCUGGCCGAAAAGUUAGUGAGCGGCAAAAUUAAUAAACAGCAGUAUCUAGAUAACGAGAAAAUAAACAAAACCAAGAGAGAGGACCUGGAUAGCAAAAUGGAAGCUUUAAGAUCCAGCCUUGCUUAGGAGCUUUUAAGGAGUUUUAGAUAAAUUAUGUUUAUUUGUCAUCAUAUGUUCAGAGAAAAGCUGAAUAUCAAUAAAGGUCUAUUAUUAAUUU